UACGAAGGGGGCUAGCGUUGUUCGGAAUCACUGGGCGUAAAGCGUACGUAGGCGGAUCGUUAAGUCAGGGGUGAAAGCCUGGAGCUCAACUCCAGAACUGCCUUUGAUACUGGCGAUCUUGAGACCGGGAGAGGUGAGUGGAACUGCUAGUGUAGAGGUGAAAUUCGUAGAUAUUAGCAAGAACACCAGUGGCGAAGGCGGCUCACUGGCCCGGUACUGACGCUGAGGUACGAAAGUGUGGGGAGCAAACAGG
rnacentral:rRNA from 1 species